AUACUUAGCUAGUGCCGGGGCCUCGUUGAUCACCGAGGACGAGCGCCCAGGGCGACGCGCGGGCAUUCCACUGCGCUUGCGUUAACCCCUUCUACGACCGCAAACUGGGGUAGAUAGGGCAUGCAAAUUGCCUAAAUCUGGUUCAACAAGAGAGGGCGCUGCUGCCUCAGCCAGC
rnacentral:snRNA from 1 species